rnacentral:rRNA from 1 species
UACAGAGGAGCCAAGCGUUGUCCGGAUUGACUGGGCGUAAAGCGCACGCAGGCGGACGCGCGCGUGGGGGUGUGAAAAUCUGGCCGCUUAACGGCCAGGGGGCCAUCCCCAUACGGCGGGGUCUGGAGCGAUGCAGAGGUCGGUGGAAUUGCCGGUGUAGUGGUGAAAUGCGUAGAGAUCGGCAGGAACACCCAGGGGGAAACCAGCCGACUGGGCAUCUGCUGACGCUGAGGUGCGAGAGCGUGGGGGAGCGAACCGG